rnacentral:rRNA from 1 species
UACUGGAGGAUAGCCCGGAGAAAUCCGGAUUAAUACUCCAUGGCACUAUAGUGUAGCAUUACAUAAUAGUUAAAGAUUUAUUGGUAAAGGAUGGGCAUGCGUGACAUUAGUUAGUUGGUGGGGUAACGGCCCACCAAGACGAUGAUGUCUAGGGGUUCUGAGAGGAAGGUCCCCCACACUGGCACUGAGAUACGGGCCAGACUCCUACGGGAGGCAGCAGUAGGGAAUAUUGGUCAAUGGGCGGAAGCCUGAACCAGCCAUGCCGCGUGCAGGAAGACAGCCUUCUGGGUUGUAAACUGCUUUUAUACAGGAACAAAGAGGCCAUGCGUGGCAAGUUGCGUGUACUGUAUGAAUAAGCACCGGCUAACUCCGUGCCAGCAGCCGCGGUAAUACGGAGGGUGCAAGCGUUGUCCGGAUUUAUUGGGUUUAAAGGGUGCGUAGGUGGCUAUUUAAGUCAGUGGUGAAAGCCUACAGCUUAACUGUAGAGGUGCCAUUGAUACUGGAUAGCUUGAGUAUGGACGAGGUAGGCGGAAUUUGUGGUGUAGCGGUGAAAUGCAUAGAUACCACAAAGAACACCGAUAGCGAAGGCAGCUUACUGGACCAUAACUGACACUGAGGCACGAAAGCGGGGGGGAGCGAACAGGAUUAGAUACCCUGGUAGUCCACGCCGUAAACGAUGCUCACUCGAUGUAUGCGAUAUACUGUAUGCGUCCAAGCGAAAGCGAUAAGUGAGCCACCUGGGGGAGUACGCUCGCAAGAGUGAAACUCAAAG